GAUGAACGCUAGCUACAGGCUUAACACAUGCAAGUCGAGGGGCAGCAUGAUUGAAGCUUGCUUCAAUCGAUGGCGACCGGCGCACGGGUGAGUAACACGUAUCCAACCUGCCGAUAACUCGGGGAUAGCCUUUCGAAAGAAAGAUUAAUACCCGAUAGUAUAGUAUUUCCGCAUGGUUUCACUAUUAAAGAACUUCGGUUAUCGAUGGGGAUGCGUUCCAUUAGAUAGUUGGCGGGGUAACGGCCCACCAAGUCAACGAUGGAUAGGGGUUCUGAGAGGAAGGUCCCCCACAUUGGAACUGAGACACGGUCCAAACUCCUACGGGAGGCAGCAGUGAGGAAUAUUGGUCAAUGGACGAGAGUCUGAACCAGCCAAGUAGCGUGAAGGAUGACUGCCCUAUGGGUUGUAAACUUCUUUUAUACGGGAAUAAAGUGGAGUAUGCAUACUCCUCUGUAUGUACCGUAUGAAUAAGGAUCGGCUAACUCCGUG
rnacentral:rRNA from 1 species